AUUGAACGCUGGCGGCAUGCUUUACACAUGCAAGUCGAACGGUAACAGCACUCCGGUGGCUGACGAGUGGCGAACGGGUGAGUAAUACACCGGAACGUGCCCAGUCGUGGGGGAUAACUACUCGACAGAGUAGCUAAUACCGCAUGAGAUCUAAGCAUGAAAGCCGGGGACCUUCGGGCCUUGCGCUACUAGAUCGGCUGAUGGCAGAGUAGGUAGUUGGUGGGAUAAAAGCUUACCAAGCCGACGAGCUGUAGCUGGUCUGAGAGGACGACCGGCCACACUGGGACUGAGACACGGCCCAGACGCCUACGGGAGGCAGCAGUGGGGAAUGUUGGACAAUGGGCGCAAGCCUGAUCCAGCAAUGCCGCGUGCAGGAUGAAGGCCUUCGGGUUGUAAACUGCUUUUGUACGGAACGAAAAGCCCUCGUCUAAUACAGGGGGGUCAUGACGGUACCGUAAGAAUAAGCACCGGCUAACUACGUG
rnacentral:rRNA from 1 species